AUUGAACGCUGGCGGCAGGCCUAACACAUGCAAGUCGAGCGGAUGAAGGGAGCUUGCUCCUGGAUUCAGCGGCGGACGGGUGAGUAAUGCCUAGGAAUCUGCCUGGUAGUGGGGGAUAAUGUCCGGAAACGGGCGCUAAUACUGCAUACGUCCUGAGGGAGAAAGUGGGGGAUCUUUGGAACUCUCGCUAUCAGAUGAGCCUAGGUCGGAUUGGCUAGUUGGUGGGGUAAAGGCCUACCAAGGCGACGAUCCGUAACUGGUCUGAGUGGAUGAUCAGUCACACUGGAGCUGAGACACGGUCCAGACUCCUACGAGACGCAGCAGUGUGGAAUAUUAGGCAAUGGGCGAAAACCUGAUACAGCCAUGCCGCGUGUGUUGAGAAGGUCUUCCGAUUGUGAAGCACUUUAAGUUGGGAGGAAGCGCAGUAAGUUAAUACCUUGCUGUUUUGACGUUACCAGCAGAAUAAGCACCGGCUAACUACGUG
rnacentral:rRNA from 1 species